rnacentral:rRNA from 1 species
UACGAAGGGGGCUAGCGUUGUUCGGAUUUACUGGGCGUAAAGCGCGCGUAGGCGGAUCACUAAGUCAGGGGUGAAAUCCCGAGGCUUAACCUCGGAACUGCCUUUGAUACUGAUGAUCUGGAGAUCGGGAGAGGUUGGUGGAACUCCGAGUGUAGAGGUGAAAUUCGUAGAUAUUCGGAGGAACACCAGAAGCGAAGGCGGCCAACUGGCCCGAUACUGACGCUGAGGCGCGAAAGCGUGGGGAGCAAACAGG